CCCAGACUCCUACGGGAGGCAGCAGUGGGGAAUAUUGCACAAUGGGGGAAACCCUGACGCAGCGACGCCGCGUGAGCGAUGAAGUAUUUCGGUAUGUAAAGCUCUAUCAGCAGGGAAGAAGAUGACGGUACCUGACUAAGAAGCCCCGGCUAACUACGUGCCAGCAGCCGCGGUAAUACGUAGGGGGCAAGCGUUAUCCGGAUUUAUUGGGUUUAAAGGGUGCGUAGGCGGACUGUUAAGUCAGCGGUAAAAGCCGGGGCCUCAACCCCGGCGAGCCGUUGAAACUGGCUGUCUUGAGAUGUCGAGAGGUAUGCGGAAUGCGCAGUGUAGCGGUGAAAUGCUUAGAUAUUGCGCAGAACUCCGAUUGCGAAGGCAGCAUACCGGCGGCGAUCUGACGCUGAGGCACGAAAGCGUGGGUAUCGAACAGGAUUAGAUACCCCCGUAAC
rnacentral:rRNA from 1 species